rnacentral:rRNA from 1 species
CCUACGGGUGGCAGCAGUCGGGAAUAUUGCGCAAUGGAGGAAACUCUGACGCAGUGACGCCGCGUGCAGGAAGAAGGUUUUCGGAUUGUAAACUGCUUUAGACAGGGAAGAAAAAAGACAGUACCUGUAGAAUAAGCUCCGGCUAACUACGUGCCAGCAGCCGCGGUAAUACGUAGGGAGCAAGCGUUAUCCGGAUUUAUUGGGUGUAAAGGGUGCGUAGGCUGUCGGAUAAGUUAGAGGUCAAAUGUCGGGGCUUAACCCCGUGCCUGCCUCUGAUACUGUUCGACUAGAGAGCGGAUGCAGCAGGCGGAAUGAGUAGUGUAGCGGUGAAAUGCUUAGAUAUUACUCAGAACACCGAUUGCGCAGGCAGCUUGCUAAUCCGCAUCUGACGCUGAUGCACGAAAGCGUGGGUAGCGAACAGGAUUAGAUACCCGGGUAGUC